rnacentral:rRNA from 1 species
AGGAUUCCCCUAGUAACUGCGAGUGAAGCGGGAAAAGCUCAAAUUUAAAAUCUGGCAGUCUCUGGCUGUCCGAGUUGUAAUCUAGAGAAGUAAUGCCCGUGCUGGACCGUGUAUAAGUCUCCUGGGAUGGGGCGUCAUAGAGGGUGAGAAUCCCGUCUUUGACACGGACUACCAGUGCAUUGUGGUAUGCUCUCAAAGAGUCGAGUUGUUUGGGAAUGCAGCUCAAAAUGGGUGGUAAAUUCCAUCUAAAGCUAAAUAUUGGCGAGAGACCGAUAGCGAACAAGUACCGUGAGGGAAAGAUGAAAAGAACUUUGGAAAGAGAGUUAAACAGUACGUGAAAUUGCUGAAAGGGAAACGCUUGAAGUCAGUCGCGUCGGCCGGGAAUCAGCCUUGCUUUUGCAUGGUGUACUUUCUGGUUGACGGGUCAGCAUCAAUUUUGACCGCUGGAAAAGGACCUGGGGAAUGUGGCAGCUUCGGCUGUGUUAUAGCCCCUAGUCGCAUACAGUGGUUGGGAUUGAGGAACUCAGCACGCCGCAAGGCCGGGUUUCGACCACGUUCGUGCUUAGGAUGCUGGCAUAAUGGCUUUAAGCGACCCGUCUUGAAACACGGACCAAGGAGUCUAACAUGCCUGCGAGUAUUUGGGUGGAAAACCCAAGUGCGUAAUGAAAGUGAAAGUUGAGAUCCCUGUCGUGGGGAGCAUCGACGCCCGGACCAGAACUUUUGGGACGGAUCCGCGGUGGAGCAUGUAUGUUGGGACCCGAAAGAUGGUGAACUAUGCCUGAAUAGGGUGAAGCCAGAGGAAACUCUGGUGGAGGCUCGUAGCGAUUCUGACGUGCAAAUCGAUCGUCAAAUUUGGGUAUAGGGGCGAAA